UUGAGUCCUACCAAAUUAACUACACCACCACAGGUAGAGAGACCUAACCCUCGAAAGUGCAUUAUUAGCACAAAUUCUGAUGAAGAUGAAUGUUUUUCACCAACUAAACUGCUAAAAAAGGAAGAGAAUGAGAUUAGCCAAAUGUGGAACAGCAUGUUGUAGGCGAUUGCAACAGAUAACCAUGUAAUGCAGGGAUCUUCAGUAACUGAAAACUCUGUUGUAGCUAGUUCCCAGCCAUCCCCAACAUCCCUGUGGAAGAUGGCAUCAAUAGGAAACAUUCAAAUACAGAUCAAUGUGGAAAUAGGUUACAACUGACGAGUGACUCGAGCAAAAUUGGCACAGACUGGCAACAGACAGAUUUAUCCUUUCUUACACAUGGCUUCUUUUGUCCUUCGACCCUGGGUGAGAUUUUCCCUAGACUCUCUUACACCUUGGUUCCACUACCUCCUCUCGCCUCCUCUACCAUGAACCCUGCUUUUCACCAUGCCUGUUGCUGCUCCUUGUCAUUUAUCUUCUCCAUCUCUUCCUUCCCAUUCAGCUUUUGCAGCGUGCAGGCUAUCAUCUGUCCCAAGGAAGUAGGUACUUAGUAUAUGAGAGUCCCAUUGCCGGGACAGGAGAAUAUUUUUCUCAGGGACUGAAGCCCAAGUCUGUGUGGUGCACUUUAGCUGUGCAAAACCGUAUUUUAGGUGGGGAGGGUUGAAGAAGGCUCACCAGGAGCUGCCUUAUACAGCACCUGAAGAACCAUCACACUGAUCUGGAUUUUAUACCACCGAAUGCCAACAAAUACCUGCCAUCAAGGAGAACACAGACAGGUGAGCUGGACCGAGCUGGAAAUGGAUAUUCCCAUCUGUGCCCAAGGCUGAAGUGCAUUUCGUGAAAAACAGCCAAAUCCGAACACUUCUGAAAUAAGGAUAUUGUGCAAGAGGGACUAGUAGCUUGUGCAGGGGAAGCAGGACAGGCUUACCUUGGUUUGUGCAGAGAAGCAGCACGCCGAGGAGGACUAUGAGGUAGGACUUCAUCUUUGAGGGUUCUCCUUGGUCGUGGCAACUUCAAGGAAUAGGAUCCUCCAGGGCAGAUGAAUAAACUUGUUAGAUGUGCUGGGAAGAUCGACUGAGGUGGGGAUGAGCUGGAUUGCUCCACUCUUAUCCAGGGGGUGAGAUUGUUUGUGAACAGUGGAAUGUGUGUGGGUGAAGUAUGACACCUUACCUUCAGAAAUGUCCAAUUGCCAAGGGGCAGAUGGUGCCUCUGUAAAUUGGGUGUGCUGCAAAGCCUUGAACCAUUUCCACCAUCUUUUCCCUUGUCUCCAUCCCAUCAAAGCCUCUCCCUCCCCAAUCCAACUCUGCCCAAACCAUCCCCCCUCUGCAUAAAUUUGCCCCAAAGACUGAAAAGCUAUUUUUGUGAUCCUGGAUUGAUCCUAGAUGGUCCCAACCCUCAGCCACUCUGCGGCAAACAAAAAUCUGCUCCUGUUGCAUGCAGUGGUCUCAUCAGCUAGAUCUCUGGAAGGGGUACCCCCAAGAAUCCAUAGUCUGAGAGUGUCUCUAAAACACUUGUGUGGUGACCGGUCAUAAGUGGAGACAGUGCUGUUGUGCACAGGUCCUGCUUUGUGGCUUCCCAUUGGGACAUCUGGUUGGCCACUGUGAGGACACAAUGCUGCGCUUGAAGGAUCUUUCACCUGAUCUAGCAGCCCGGACCUUCUUGUGUUCUUGAGGAGAAAUAAAACAAUGCACUUGGUUUUUAGAUUACACAUGUAUGUCUCACAGCAGGCAUCAUCUGAGAAGAGGCACUCCCUCUUAUGAAAGCAUGAUAUAAAUGAACAAUAGCAACUGACUGAAGUUUACUCAUUCCAGCAGAUUGCAAGCAUGAUCACAACUGUGAUAGAGCAUGACAAUCUCUGACUUGGAUUUGUGUCUCCAGUCCUGGGAUAACAUGGCCUAAGGUGGACUGCCUGCCUGCCUUUUGAAGCUGGGCAUGUGGUUUUUCCAGUAAAUGCACCUCAGAGAUGAGGAAG